rnacentral:rRNA from 1 species
AUACGUAGGGGGCGAGCGUUGUCCGGAAUGAUUGGGCGUAAAGGGCGUGUAGGCGGCCUGUUAAGUCUGAAGUGAAAGUCCUGUUUUCAAGAUGGGAAUUGCUUUGGAUACUGGCGGGCUUGAGGGUUGGGGAGGGUAUUGGAGUUUCCCGGUGUGCGGGGAAAUGAGUAGAGAUCGGGAGGAAAACCAGUGGCGAAGGCGGGUAACUGGACUGCAACUGACGCUGAGGCGCGAAAGUGUGGGGAGCAAACAGGAUUAGAUACCCUGGUAGUCCACACUGUAAACGAUGAAUGCUAGGUGUAGGGGGUAUCGACCCCUUCUGUACCGCAGCAAACACAAUAAGCAUUCCGCCUGGGGAGUACGGCCGCAAGGUUGAAACUCAAAGGAAUUGACGGGG